GCGAGUUUCUUUAGAAAAAAUGAAUAUGUUUUAACAAAAUUCAUGUACGAGGCGAGGAAGAACAGCAGAAGAAAAGCACACGAACGCGUUGGGUCUUUCAGUAAAAGGUUGUUGAAAACAUUGGAUGGUUCUAUCACAUAUCAAUAUAAUUCAACUUGUCUACUAAAAUGUCCCUGCUCAGAACCUUUCAGUUGUCUGCAUACAUUUUCUGCCUUUAACCGGGUUCGUUUCAUUCCCUGCACUGCCUUGAUGCUGUCAACCAAAAAUUUCCCAUGCUUAAUUCAACCAUAAGCGCUCAAGAUGAGGUUAAUAGUUAGUGUGCAAGAAGCGCGUGCCUAAGAAAACCAUGCCGACACGCGGUACCAGCUAGGCAGCGUGCGUACUGAAGUAUAAACGCGCGGCGAGGGAGCUGGGGAUGCGGUACGCGCUACGCGACCGGCGUAACUGCUUUGAAAUAAACAACCUACAUGUCGGCGAACCAUUCUGCAUUGCACUUAGGAUGUUUUAAAAACUUGUAGCAACUGAUUCCACUGCCAACUUUCUUUGGGCAUUAUAAGCUGUGCCGAAGAUUGGCAUUACAACGACCGCAAAUUUAAGUUACAGCAGACACGAAACGCGCCAAACGUUCAGUGAAAUGAACAGGAUGCCGCUACACUCACAUACAAGCGAGCGCCGUCCGCUCCGUUGUCUUUUUUAGGAGACAUAGACAGAUGAAAAGAGCGUUAAAUGUGUGAAGCCGCCAACUGAGAAAUGAAAUCUUUACCACUGUCCAAACACGAAAUGCUUCCACCAUCACACCAAUAACAUCACUGGCACCUCUGACAUUUAUUUCUGUAAUUCAUUGCUUGUUUUCAUUUUUUUUUCAUUUUUGCUUGUGCCUCUAAGUGCCUUUUUCUAACAUGGCGGCAGCGAGCAGGCAUCAGCCACACCGGAGCGCGGCCAUCCACGGUGCUAUCAUCUCUCCUCCUCGGCCCAAUCGAGAUAGCUCGAGUUGCACGCUGGGAAGAUUUUAAGCGGGAGCGGGAGGCUCGGAGCCGGCGGGAGUGGUUAGCGCGCUGUCGUCCUGUCGUUGUUGUCGUUCUGAGACGGCCAUUAUAUUUGACUUGUUUGGAUACCAUCCGAUCACCAUUGUGUGCUGCCACCACUUGUAGCCUGCAGUAGUUAUUACCGCUUCUACUGGGAACUUGCGCCAUCCGCUGCACCCUCAUGCCUUUGUGCAGCAGAGACCUUUUCGGUGUGUUGCGCGGUCGCUGCAACGAGCCGGGUUGUGAGUGCAAGCGAUACACCAUUCUGCGCCUGUCGGAAAGUGACAACCUGGUGAGGUGUGACUAUUGUGACCACGUCCCAAAUGCACACGGAAAAAUAUGUGAUCUCGAGAGGACUGUCCCAGUUGGUGCCUCCAUAGAAAAUGAAUCGGCCUGAAUGCCUGUGCAAGAAUCACAACCUGGCUGCUCUAAAGACUCCGCACCGUAGUCCCAUGUGCAAGAGCCCCCACUUGACAGCCCAGUGGUUGCCAUGGACAAAGAGAUCCGCGAUACUGAAUGCGGCCAAGCAGUACAAGUUUUUACAUGGACAGUUAACACGAAGUUAUUGACGACAUGCAUGGCUGAAACACGGUGAUAUGAUUUUAAAAAUUCCUGUGUUAUGAUGCAAGUGAUAGUAUUCUGUUGAAUUUUCAGAUCUAGUCAUGUGCCAGCAAGGCCUGCUGUACUUCUGGUGUAUUCUAUGUUGUAUUUUCAAAUAAAGAUGUUGCAUUCUGAAGUUAACCUUA